UACAGAGGUCCCAAGCGUUGUUCGGAUUCACUGGGCGCAAAGGGUGCGUAGGUGGCUUGGUAAGUUCGAUGUGAAAUCUCCGGGCUUAACCCGGAAAUGGCAUUGAAUACUAUUGAGCUGGAGGUUUGGAGGGGGGACUGGAAUUCUCGGUGUAGCAGUGAAAUGCGUAGAUAUCGAGAGGAACACCAGUGGCGAAGGCGAGUCCCUGGACAACACCUGACACUGAGGCACGAAAGCUAGGGGAGCAAACAGG
rnacentral:rRNA from 1 species